rnacentral:rRNA from 1 species
UAGAGUUUGAUCAUGGCUCAGGAUGAACGCUAGCGGCAGGCCUAACACAUGCAAGUCGAGGGGUAACGUGAGUGCUUGCACUUGACGACGACCGGCGCACGGGUGCGGAACGCGUAUGGAACCUACCUUUAUCAGGGGGAUAGCCCAUGGAAACGUGGAUUAAUACCCCAUAGUAUUAUUUCAUUGCAUGAUGAGAUAAUUAAAGAAUUUCGGAUAGAGAUGGCCAUGCGUAUCAUUAGCUAGUAGGCGAGGUAACGGCUCACCUAGGCGACGAUGAUUAGGGGUCCUGAGAGGGAGAUCCCCCACACUGGUACUGAGACACGGACCAGACUCCUACGGGAGGCAGCAGUGAGGAAUAUUGGGCAAUGGAGGCAACUCUGACCCAGCCAUGCCGCGUGCAGGAAGACGGCCCUAUGGGUUGUAAACUGCUUUUAUACAGGAAGAACACCACCCACGUGUGGGUGACUGACGGUACUGUAAGAAUAAGGACCGGCUAACUCCGUGCCAGCAGCCGCGGUAAUACGGAGGGUCCAAGCGUUAUCCGGAAUCAUUGGGUUUAAAGGGUCCGUAGGCGGGCUAAUAAGUCAGAGGUGAAAGUUUGCAGCUCAACUGUAAAAUUGCCUUUGGUACUGUUAGUCUUGAGUUAUAGUGAAGUGGUUAGAAUAAGUGGUGUAGCGGUGAAAUGCAUAGAUAUCACUUA